UUACGGCCAUAUCACGUUGAAGCACCGGUUCUCGUACGAUCACCGAAGUUAAGUAAUGUCGAGCCGAGUCAAUACCAUAUGAGUGACCGAUUGGGAGUACCAUGUGCUGUAAG